rnacentral:misc_RNA from 1 species
UGUGACACUGCUGCUCA